AUUUUUUAUUAACUUGUAAUGGAAAGGAAAUGGCAUUAAGUAUCCAGGGAGCUUGAAAGUAAGUAUGCUGUAUUCAAGCAAGACUCAAGAACACAACCAGAAUCAUAUUAGUUCCUCUGACUCUUCAUUAACUUUCGGAUGCUACUUUCGGGAAUCACCACUUGUAUGCAAGAAUGGAGUGGCUGAAUGGAUAAAGGCACCUGCCACCAAUGCUGGCGACCUGAGUUCAAUCUCCAGGUCCUACAUCAUGGCAGGAGAGAAAAAACUCUUCAAAGUUGUCCUUUCUCCCUCUGAAGCACAUCCAAUAAAUAAAUAAAUAAAUAAAUGUAAAAACAAACAAACCUCAGAAAAAGCAUCUCUGCUUGACUCGGGCUUUCCAGUUUUGCCACUGUGAAUCUCAGGUCUCAAAGCCCAUCUGUUCUAGUGAAAUGAGAAUGGCUGGCCAGUCAACUCUCAUACUAGUGCCCUCUUUGCUUUAGAAAGUUGGAUAGAAGAAUCAAGCUUUGACACAUCCCCUGUGACCACAAUGAAGAAGGGAGGGAGGGAAGAGAACCCAAAUUAAUUAUCUUGUCAUAAAUUUGUGAGCUGGAAGGGAGACACAAGGGUUCCUCUGACACAUCCCAAGAAAGGCUGUGCCUAUUCAUAGCUAGAACUGACCCUGAACAUUCUAGUCCAUCACGCUAAAAAAAUUUUUUUACAAUGUCCUUAAUUUGUAUUUAUUUUAUCCCCAGAGUACUUAUUCCAUAAAAUGUGAUAUCAUUUUUUGCUAAUCUAUGAAUAUGAAGCUAUACAUUGAGGUUUAAAAAAUAAUGUCUCCAUAAUAAAAAGAGAAUUGACACUGGCCACGAAGCAAUGACUGCUUUACUUGGUGACUCUUUGACCAUUAAUUUUUGGGGUGAGAGAGAAAUGGAUUUGCUGACAAAAGAUGGAUGUUAUAAAGACUCAUUGUUUGUCCAGUCUGCUCCGCUUUAAAAAAAAAUAGAGGACAGAACUGGUCCCCAAGCUCUAGACCUCAACAAAAGUUAGUAAUGGAUGUCUUUAUCUAUAGAAUUUCUCCAAGAAGCGAUCGUGUAUUUAACAAUCCAGAAGACCCAGAUGGGGAAGAUGAAGAUGUGAGUCAGGAAAGAGUGUGGACAGCAAAUGCUUUGACUUCCGCCGACUUCCAGGAGGUAGGCCUUGUAAGGCAGCUCACAGUGGAAGUGUCUUAACCUGUUUGCAGUUAAGGGAUGUAUUCAGAGUUCCACUUUAAAAUGGAAAGCACCUUCAAUCGCUUCAUAUGGAUGCUUAAAAGAAACGAGCAUCUUUCCUGAGAAUAUGGUGAUGAAGCAGUCAUUGAUCAGUCAUUGGCUCGUUCUCAUUCUCAUGUACUGUUCAGUACAUUUGUGUUCUUGGUAAAAAAGAAAAAAAUCUUACGCACUCGGUCUUGCUUGAAAAGGUGAGGUGCUAAGAUAGCCCGCCUGACGAUUUCACUAAUGCUUAGAUUUGGUCACCCCAGCUCCACAAGCUUUGAUAAUAGAUCAUUGUAAGCCAGUUCAUAAGAGCUGUCUUGUUUGUCAGGUUAAAAGGUGAAAAGUACAGUGGCAUAUGAGAAAUAUGAGGUCAGACAUCAAAUUGGCAGCUACAACUUCUAUUGUUGGAAGUAGUCAUCACUAUGACAACUUUGGCUGUCCUUGCACGCAGCCAACACUGGCGAAUGCAGGUUUACCAAGCUUUCUGGGUUCCUCAGAUAGCAUGCAAGUUUCUGUAUUUAGUGUUCUAUAAUUAAACACUUCCACAGGAUGUCCCAGUAGGGUUUUUAUUUCUUGCAUUUGAAGCUGUAGCCCUGGGGGGGAGGGGGCUUUCAAACACUAGCGAGUAUAUUUAAUUACUAGAUUCCCUUGUCAUCAUUACAUCCUGAAUGAUUGUUUUACAAUCAUUGAUUGGAAAUUGGAAUGCCAUUUUGGAGUUCUUAAACUCAUUGCUAAAAUAAUUUAAGACUAGGCUCAAAUGGGAACUUAAGGACAUUUUUUAUU
rnacentral:lncRNA from 1 species